rnacentral:rRNA from 1 species
UACGUAGGGUGCGAGCGUUGUCCGGAAUUACUGGGCGUAAAGAGCUCGUAGGUGGUUUGUCGCGUUGUUCGUGAAAACCGGGGGCUUAACCCUCGGCGUGCGGGCGAUACGGGCAGACUUGAGUACUGCAGGGGAGUCUGGAAUUCCUGGUGUAGCGGUGGAAUGCGCAGAUAUCAGGAGGAACACCGGUGGCGAAGGCGGGUCUCUGGACAGUAACUGACGCUGAGGAGCGAAAGCGUGGGGAGCGAACAGG